GAUGAACGCUGGCGGCGUGCCUAAUACAUGCAAGUCGUACGGAAAGGCCCUUCGGGGUACUCGAGUGGCGGACGGCUGAGUAACGCGUGGGAACGUGCCCCAAAGUGAGGGAUAACGCACCGAAAGGUGUGCUAAUACCGCAUAUGGUCUUCGGAUUAAAGCUUCGGCGCUUUGGGAGCGGCCCGCGUACGAUUAGAUAGUUGGUGAGGUAAUGGCUCACCAAGUCGACGAUCGUUAGCUGGUCUGAGAGGAUGAUCAGCCAGACUGGGACUGAGACACGGCCCAGACUCCUACGGGAGGCAGCAGUAAGGAAUCUUCCACAAUGGGGGCAACCCUGAUGGAGCAACGCCGCGUGCAGGAUGAAGGUUUUCGGAUCGUAAACUGCUUUUAUAAGUGAAGAAUAUGACGGUAACUUACGAAUAAGGAUCGGCUAACUCCGUGCCAGCCGCCGCAGUAA
rnacentral:rRNA from 1 species